UCUAUGUGUUCAUUGGCACCCAUUAGUUACAGUCUAUCUACCCCGAUUUCGCUUUCUUGCUUUUGGAAACCGAAUCAAUUUUUAAAAUUGACAAAUCCUUUUAUCAAAAAAUGUUCUUCUAAAGAUGCAACACCUGUCAAAAGUGAAGCAGUCGACGACAACAAUGACAAAAUCAUUUCUGAAAAUCCACCUUGCACUACAAAUCGUUUUCUCAAAAUCCAUGUUAAGUGUUUAUCAAUCCUCAUUCCAUAUACAUCUAUCUAAUGAAUUUGUUUAUUGUGAAUAUAAAGUAAAAAGCGUGUGUAGCAGAUUGAAAACUCCUCUCACAUUUUACAUCAUCGCUAUAUAGUUUUCAAGGGCAUGUGACAAAGUGAAUUGAACUAUAAAUGAUGCUUCUCAACCAUUAUAAACACGUCCAGGUUUUGGCAUUCAAUGGAUAUCAAAUAUGUUUAGAAGCCGAGAAUCUUUUUACCAAAGACAAAAGAAUUCAAGUGGUUUUUUCCCUUAAGGAAAUGACUAAUGCAACUCUUCCUAAUAUCUCAAUGCUCUUGAAACAGAUUGUAAAUUAUAUAAAUUAGCCAUAAAGAGAGAAUGCUAGUUGUUCGGACCGAUGAUGAAAGUGGUUGCAAGCAUGAUGUUUACACCGGUUUCAGCUUUCUGGCUAUACCAAUUAUUGUGAGUAGUAUUCUUUGUAGCUUAGCAUUUGGUUUCCUUGGGCCAAUGUUUGGAAAUUUUAAAGCUUUUAGUGGAAGGGAAUACCAAUAUGUUUGUCCCCUGUUUUAUCUUAAGCAAACUACUUUCACUUAAAAUAUUAUGUCUGUUGUUUUGUUUAUUUAGUCAACAAAACAUAUGAAACUUUAGACA